rnacentral:rRNA from 1 species
CGAAGAACCUUACCAGGCCUUGACAUGCAGAGAACUUUCAGAGAUGGAUUGGUGCCUUCGGGAACUCUGACACAGGUGCUGCAUGGCUGUCGUCAGCUCGUGUCGUGAGAUGUUGGGUUAAGUCCCGUAACGAGCGCAACCUUGUCCUUAGUUACCAGCACGUUAUGGUGGGCACUCUAAGGAGACUGCCGGUGGACAAACCGGAGGAAGGUGGGGGAUGACGUCAAGUCAUCAUGGCCCUUACGGCCUGGGCUACACACGUGCUACAAUGGUCGGUACAAAGGGUUGCCAAGCCGCGAGGUGGAGCUAAUCCCAUAAAACCGAUCGUAGUCCGGAUCGCAGUCUGCAACUCGACUGCGUGAAGUCGGAAUCGCUAGUAAUCGUGAAUCAGAAUGUCACGGUGAAUACGUUCCCGGGCCUU